CCCAUACAUAUUCAUGCAAGAAUUAGUAUCUGAUCCUGCUCAAUAGUCGAUUCCAUUAGCUACGUACGUCGACGUUGGGCGAAACAACAAACAGAGAAACAACUAUUUACUGAUGAUGUUUUAUCAUACGAUUUUCAGUUAAUGGGAAUAACACAAACCACUUUAUUGUGGUUGGCUUAUUUCUUUAAAUGAUGAAUAUGAUAGAACGGCAAGUAAUUUCAGUUGUGUGAAAAGCAUAAAGAAAAUAAUGGACUGCGAUUUAUUGAGUUCGAUAGAUCAGUUGAAGAAGAAACGUUUGUUGGGAAAUAGAGGACUGAACACUUGUAUUCAUUUUGAUUAUCUACCUUCAUCACCAUUGACAGUUCUUGGUCUGCGUUUGAAGCCUAAUUUAAUAUAAGAUCACAUGCAACUGUUACGAUGGUUUCGUCGCCAUUACUUUUGAAAAAAAAAUAUGCAACUGUCGUUGUAUUUAACGUGCAAGAAGUGAAAAAGUUGAGUAACC